GCCGUCUUUUCCGGCUCCGGCCAACAUCAGCCAAUGCGGUCCUUCUACCGGUGCAAGGGCUCCGCAGCUAGGCCGCCAUCCUACUGCCGACACGCUGGUGCCGCCGGCCAUAGGGCCACAGACUUUACAGCCGGAGAACCAACCCCGCAGGACGACCAUGCCCGGGAGCUGGGCCUGGGCGCCUCCCGUGCAGCAACCUGGUGGACAGACAAGAUGGGCCUGGGCGCCUCCAGCGCAGCGCCCUGGUAUACCGGCGACGGCGUCUCCAGCAGCUGGCGGCUCGCCCCAGGCGCAGCCGCCGCGGGUGCCGGGCGACAAGAGCUUCGAGGAGUUCCUCCUGGAGGCCGGCGUCCUCGACCAGUGGACCCUCGACAAAAUCUUUCUCGACGGUCUCGUUGAAGAGAUGGUGGGAGAUGGACGGGCGAGUUUGGGCCCAGUGGAGGGGAUGGCUCUGCAGGCCUCUGGGGCGGCUUCCUCCUCUGUGCCGAGCAGGCAUCAGGUUCGCCUGCCCGCCCAGGACCAGGAGGCACUCGGCGCUGGCGACCAAGCGGCGGCGGUCGAGGCCAGGGAGCGGAGGAGCAGGAGGAUGGCCAAGCGAAAGGAGGCCGCUGCUAGACAUCAUCGUCCCGAGAAACAUGCAGCUCCUCGUGGAAGCCAAAAUGGAUCAGGAGCUAUCUGAUUCGUCAAGGAGCUGAAUUCUUCGCCUAUGCCUGCCGUCGCCUGUUGUCUACUGGCAACAAGAUUCAGAAUAAUUUAUGUUUUUAUAGUUUGUAGUGCUCCAUCCGUUCAAAUUUUAGGUUUAUUCUUGAACAAUCUUUUUCACUCUAACCAUUUUGAAG
rnacentral:misc_RNA from 1 species